rnacentral:ribozyme from 1 species
UUCAGGAAGAUAAUAACGCAGUGCAACAAAUUGAAGCACCAUCAAGUGAGCCAUCGAUGGGGUUCUUC